rnacentral:rRNA from 1 species
CGGCGGACGGGUGAGUAACACGUGGAUAACCUACCUAUAAGACUGGGAUAACUUCGGGAAACCGGAGCUAAUACCGGAUAAUAUAUUGAACCGCAUGGUUCAAUAGUGAAAGACGGUUUUGCUGUCACUUAUAGAUGGAUCCGCGCCGCAUUAGCUAGUUGGUAAGGUAACGGCUUACCAAGGCAACGAUGCGUAGCCGACCUGGGAGGGUGAUCGGCCACACUGGAACUGAGACACGGUCCAG